CUGGAGUAUGACUGGUAAGAAUAUGAACUUAUUUUUGACUUGGUGAAUUAGAAGACUUGAGAGGCUUUCCAACAGUCUCAGCAGGGGACAAUUUCUCCCAAAACACACUGAGUUUUUUCUGGCCCCUCUGUUGCUCCAUCUUGUUCCAUGCACCUGAAAUGGGGGUGGUGACUGUGACACGCUUUGGUUCCACGGUUGUCGGGGCCAGUCUGCGGUUGCUGCACCUUGGGGAGCUGCUCAUGCCCUGCUCCAGCAGGGCUGAAGGAGACGGCAAAAUAAUAAUGCUGCCUUUCAGCACUCAUCGAGCAUGGGUCUUCAUGGUUCUGCUCCUGCUUUGUAGCGUCCAUUCACUUCUUGCAGCACCGAUUCAGCCUGGUUCAGAACAGAGUGCAGAGGCAAGCAGCAAACCUAACAUGACAGUGAAGGGUGUAUUUGAAUCUUUCUUAAGCUUCUUCAGACCAAUGACUUGCCGCCUCAGCAAUGAGCGACUUUUAACUCCUUGUCCUUUAGAAGGCCUGAACAUGUCUGAAUGCUCAAAAAUUUACUGCUGUCCUUUCAAAACUGGCCAGGAUGAGCAGUGCUACAUGCCAGUGAGAGAUGAUGUGCAGCUGGCCAUUCGAGUGAUUUUGCUUACCGGAGGAGGAUUUUUGAUUUUGGGAUUGCUGCCAAUCUGUUGCUGUGCCUUUUUGCAGAGAAGUCCAUGUAUCAAUCCUUUACAAAAGAUAAGCAAAAAAGUACAGAAAAUUGCACGGGAAAAAAGAGCAUAUGAUGAAAAGACUCAUGAUGAAGAGAUUCAUCGCCACUUACUGGACUGACAUAAGAAAGAACCAAAAGAAUGAAAAAAAGAAGGCAUAUAGGAACAUCCACCUGAUCCUGAAGAUCAAGCAGAAGACACCAGGAUAAUUUGACUAUCUCCUAGAAAAUGACAUGUUUUAUUUUAACAUUGAAGUAAUAUGAAGUUGUUAACCCUUGAC
rnacentral:lncRNA from 1 species